CUAGACUUGAGUAUGGCAGGGGUAGAGGGAAUUUCUAGUGUAGCGGUGAAAUGCGUAGAUAUUAGAAAGAACACCGGUGGCGAAAGCGCUCUACUGGACCAUUACUGACACUCAGAGGCGAAAGCUAGGGUAGCAAAAGGGAUUAGAUACCCCUGUAGUCCUAGCCGUAAACGAUGGAUACUAGAUGUUGUGCUUUAUGUACAGUAUCGUAGCUAACGCGUUAAGUAUCCCGCCUGGGGAGUACGCUCGCAAGGGUGAAACUCAAAGGAAUUGACGGGGGCCCGCACAAGCGGUGGAGCAUGUGGUUUAAUUCGAUGCAACGCGAAGAACCUUACCAGGGCUUGACAUACUACAAAUUCUUUUGAGAAAAAGAAGUGCCUUCGGGAAUGUAGAUACAGGUGGUGCAUGGCUGUCGUCAGCUCGUGUCGUGAGAUGUUGGGUUAAGUCCCGCAACGAGCGCAACCCUUAUUUUUAGUUACUAAUUCGUUAGGUUCUCUAGAAAGACUGCCGGUGACAAACCGGAGGAAGGUGAGGAUGACGUCAAGUCAGCAUGCCCCUUAUGUCCUGGGCUACACACGUGCUACAAUGGUUAAGACAAAGAGUCGCGAGCUCGUGAGAGUCAGCUAAUCUCGUAAACUUAGCCUAAGUUCAGAUUGUAGGCUGCAACUCGCCUACAUGAAGUUGGAAUCGCUAGUAAUCGCAGGUCAGCCAUACUGCGGUGAAUCCGUUCCCGGGCCUUGUACACACCGCCCGUCACACCAUGGGAGCUGGUCAUACCCGACACCGUUAGCUUAACCGUUCGGAGAGCGACGUCUAAGGUAGGGCAAGUGACUGGGGUGAAGUCGUAACAAGGUAACC
rnacentral:rRNA from 1 species